UCGGUCAGGUCCUUCCUCAGCUGCAGCGCACUAAUCUUUCGCCUUUUACUAAAGAUUACCGUGGGGAAGGACACUCGAAUGAGCCUGUAGGCCAAUUUUUGGGAGGCCUUGCCCGUUUGGGCGAGG
rnacentral:snRNA from 1 species